AAAAAUUUAGGUGUUGGACUCCCCUUCGGCUUCACAUGGCCAGCCCUAAUUUCUUAAUCCAAACCUAAUCACACACAAAUACACAAUCACGCUGCCUACAAUAGAUUUGGUCAUCUGCUGUGCUGCUUGCCGACAACAAAUUGCUGCUCUUCGUCUUCGUCUUCGUCCUCAUCCCCGAUCUCUAGCUUGCUGGCUAUUCCCAUUUCCUUUUGUUUCGCAACUUAAUGGUUGUUGCCGGUAGCCUGCUACCUUCUUCAACUCCGAGCUAUAGCUAAUGCCUUCUUAAUUUAGAUUUUCUUCAAGUUCGAGUUGCUGCUACUGUAUUCUUUUGUGAGAGGUAAGCUGAUGGGUUCUUUCAUUUGUACACUAGGGUUUGGGGUUCUCUGAUCAGAAUAUAUCGGCUGGUCUGGUGAUUGCUCAACCGCCGUCGAUUUUUGAGGUGCCGCCCAGGUUGAGCCCCGCAAUUCUACUUGACUCGCUAAAUUUCAGUUUGUUUUCGCCUACACAGGUAAUUCAAUUUAACUUUGUCUGACCUAAAGUUUCUUCAUUUAUUCAUUAGAUUUUAGCUUGUUUAGGAAAGCUUUCAUUUUUAUUGGGUUUCGCAUUUAAAUGCUAAUAAUCCUUGGGUUUGAAUUUUGAUUUUUUUUUUUUUGGAGGGAUGGAAAAUUUUCUUCAUUGCCUUGAUUUGUUAGCAGUCGGUUGGAAUUUUGAAUUAGAGCUUGCUGAAGCAUUUAUUAUAGAAUUUAUAAAUGUGCCCUGUAAUUGGGAUAAAAACUCUUGACUUAAUUAAUCUGACAGAAGAACAUUUUGAGCAAUGUUGUAAUGUGAUUGUGCAUUGCUGAGAUAAUCUCAUCUUGUUUUGGUAUUCUAAGUAUCCAAAUGGACUGGAUAGUAGGCUAUCCAGGUCAAGUUUUAAUGGUAAUUGGGCAUUUUUCUUUCCUGAUUUUAGUUUCAUCUCUUUUUAGAUGAAGCAUAUGGUUAAUGCAAACAAUUAACGAAAGAAAAGCUCUUGGUAUUACUAGUGUUGGAGAUCCAAUUGUCUUCAUGUAAACUGUGAACACUUUUAACUCCCAUAUCUAAGAUAUAAAGAUCUUGAUGUAGCUUUAAGCCAAAUAUGUGAGAAAUUCUCCAAUCUAGUCACAACUUUAUUAGCAACCAAGAAUGAAAGAGUAUUAGCUUCCAGUUAUAAUUUGAUGACCGGAGCUUGAAUGAGUGAGUGAUAACUUGUAUUGUCUAUAUUGCUUUGUAUGUCAUGCCUCACUGGCAUUAUGUUACUUGGGUAUCCAAAUUUUGCGUUUAUCUAUUACUAAUUUUCCUGAUUCAUUGGAUGCAACCUAGGGAGCCUUUAGAAUGAAGCACUAGCAGGCCCUAGCACAGGUCACUGCCCAAGCUGUACAAGCUGAAUCUCAUACACAAAGCCUUGUUGAAUAUCAAUGUUGUUAACACACUGAAUAAUUUCCUCUGUGACUUCAAGGUUUUAAUCAAAUUUAGAGGUAUAUGUGGUUCUCAAACCCAUUACAAUUGACUGGUACUUGUGUUUUUUUUUUAUUAGAAAGAUAUCUUCUGCAAAAACUUUAUGAAAUUCACUUUUGGAAAUGCAAAUGCUUUGUGUGGUGGUACUUGCAUUUAUUUGCUUGGUCUUCUACCAUUUCAGUCAAAUGAUUUAUUUUGACUCGUGCUUAUGACUAACUUGUUGAUAGAGAAACUAGGCUGUUUAUGGAUGUAUUAAUGUGCAUCCUAUGAUUUUUCUCUUAAUUGACAUGUUGAACUUUUUGGAAGAAUAUUUUUUUUUCAAUUUGAUUUGUCACAUAUUGUGCUAUGUUAAUUGGAAAUGUUUUGGUUUGUGGUCCAUGUUGCACUUACUAGUCCUCAGUACUUGGUGGUCCUUUAGCAUCAUAAAUUAAAUUGGAUGCAUUUAAAGCAUCCAUUGCGUAGCAUUAUCACACUAAAGGGUCUCAUCUAGUUAGAAUAUUUUUUCUGCUUAUUUCCUCCAGAAGAGACAUUAUAUAAGAGUAUAUAGAUUCAAUCCUAAUUGGACAAUCAGAGUUGGUGACUAGGUAAACUAGUCGGGCAAAGAAUGGUCUUGCAAAGCUAAAUUGAAGAUGUAAUUUUGGAAAAAUUGAAACAGCUGGUCCAUAAAUAAUGAUACUUUUGCUCCUAAGAACCAAGAGAUUCCAGCCUAUCUAUCUUUUUUUGGUUUUUGUAUAUAUAUAACUCAUGAGAUUUAUAAUUUUUCAUUAUCAUGUUAACCCCUGGUCUGGACUGUCCUAAUAUUUAAACUUCUUUCCACCAUUUUCAAUUCUUAAAUUGACCAAUAUUUAUCUCAAUGUGUCCCUUUACUUGCCCAUUGAAUUUUGCAUCAAGGAUCUGAUGUGGUAGAAGAGAAGCUAACAAUUUAUGCGCUCGACAAUGUCUUUGCCUUUUGAAUUGAUUGAGAGAUCAUCAUUUCUUCACCCACUGGAAACUUUAGAUUAUGCUUUACGCUUUAGGCUUAGACUGAUAUUAGUGUUGGCAAGCCUACAAUCAUGGUAUUAAAGUUGGUAGAUUGAGGAGAUUCUGGUGAUUCCAGAAUUUUCUACAUUUUCUCUUUAUCUUUUGGAUUUUUAGAACUUUUUCCUUUCUUUUUAUUAGCUUGAUUUUGAUGGAUUUUAUUUAAUUAUAUAUGGAAGGUUAGAUGUUGUGCAUUAAUUAAAUUGUAGUCUUGAAAAAAUACUCUUUAAAAAAAUUCAUCUAGAAAUUUAGAAUUGAAAUCUGUAGAAUGCUAGACUAAAAGUUCUCUUCUCGUCUUUGGCAUUGCACUUGGUUUUAUAUUUCUCUUUACUAUGUACUCUGUUGCAAAAUAUUUUGUUUAUACUUAAUCUUUUAUAAUCCAGCAACUCUUAUGAAGACCUAGUCAACUGUCACUGCUACAUAAGCAUUCAGGUUAUGCUGCUUUAUCAUCAUUUUUAUUUUCUUCCCUUUUUCUCUUUUACAGCUUGUGAGCUUACUGCUUCAUUAUGUCAAUUGUCGAAUGUGAUUUUUUAUUUUCUCUUGGGUUGUUUAUUCUCAUUUUCCCUUUAGUAUCAAAGCUGAUUAAAUCAAUUAGACACUGAUGAAUUUUAUUAUGAAUUUGAUUAAUUGUAAGCGGGCAAUAUAUUAAUAUGUAUUUUUUUGGCACUCAUUUUAUUGUAACCUAUGUUUCAGGUGAUGUUGGUGGCUUUCGGGAAUUUACUAAGAGUGUUUUUUUUAUGGAUUAAUUGUUUUUCUAGUGAUGUGUUGGUGAUUGGAUAUUAUAAAGGAUUUAUGAGAUAUUGUAAAGGAUUUGAUUCACCAUAUAUUUUGUGAUGCUAUUUGUUGGAAGUUUCAAGUGAUUGAAAUUUUUAGCGCAUCACACUAUUUGGUAUUUGAUAGUUUUUAUGAAUUUGAAUGUAAUUUUUAUUUCAAUUAAUUCAAGUUUUAAAUGUGGUUUUUGUUGUUUUUAUUUCAAAA
rnacentral:lncRNA from 1 species